GGAUGUGAAGGCACUCUGGCUGCCACAGCUGUCACCCCAGUGAUCACCAGGGUAGAUUUACAGUGGCCUCGUUGGCUAGGCUGGUGUCUCCUUUUUCCCUCACGGAUAUCCAUGCUUCCCUCCAGAAACUGGGACGCCCUCCCACCCGAGCGAUGCGAUCUUUCUUCUGCAUUCUGCUGCUAGAACCUCCAAACUCUCCAGGUCUGUCUGUGGAACAGAGAGUAGCCCAGCUUCCAGACUCCAGACAAGCAAGGAGGUACUGUAUAUGGCAGUCUGCCUUUCUUG
rnacentral:snRNA from 1 species